rnacentral:rRNA from 1 species
GACGAACGCUGGCGGCGUGCUUAACACAUGCAAGUCGAACGAUGAAGCCGGAGCUUGCUCUGGUGAAUUAGUGGCGAACGGGUGAGUAACACGUGAGUAACCUGCCCUUGACUCUGGGAUAACUGCGGGAAACUGUAGCUAAUACCGGAUACGACCCUCGGAGGCAUCCCCUGUUGGUGGCAAGAAUUUCGGUUCGGGAUGGACUCGCGGCCUAUCAGCUUGUUGGUGAGGUAACGGCUCACCAAGGCGACGACGGGUAGCCGGCCUGAGAGGGUGAUCGGCCACACUGGGACUGAGACACGGCCCAGACUCCUACGGGAGGCAGCAGUGGGGAAUAUUGCACAAUGGGCGCAAGCCUGAUGCAGCAACGCCGCGUGAGGGACGACGGCCUUCGGGUUGUAAACCUCUUUUAGUAGGGAAGAAGCGAAAGUGACGGUACCUGCAGAAAAAGCACCGGCUAACUACGUGCCAGCCGCCGCGGUAA